GAUGAACGCUGGCGGCGUGCCUAAUACAUGCAAGUCGAGCGAACGGACGAGAAGCUUGCUUCUCUGAUGUUAGCGGCGGACGGGUGAGUAACACGUGGAUAACCUACCUAUAAGACUGGGAUAACUUCGGGAAACCGGCGCUAAUACCGGAUAAUAUUUUGAACCGCAUGGUUCAAAAAUGAAAGUCGGUGUUGCUGUCACUUAUAGCUGGAUCCGCGCUUCAUUGGCUAGUUGGUAAGGUAACGGGUUACCAAGGCAACUAUGCAUAGCCGAGCUGAGCGGGUGGUCGGCCACACUGGAGCUGAGACACGGUCCAGACGCCUACGGGAGGCAGCAGUAGGGAAUCGGCCGCAGCAGGCGGAAGCCUGGCGGAGCGACGCCGCGUGAGUGAUGAAGGUCUUCGGAUCGUAAAACUCUGUUAUUAGGGAAGAACAUAUGUGUAAGUAACUGUGCACAUCUUGACGGUACCUAAUCAGAAAGCCACGGCUAACUACGUG
rnacentral:rRNA from 1 species